CCAGAGAACUUAGCAGAGAUGCUUUGGUGCCUUCGGGAACUCUGAGACAGGUGCUGCAUGGCUGUCGUCAGCUCGUGUUGUGAAAUGUUGGGUUAAGUCCCGCAACGAGCGCAACCCUUUAUCCUUUGUUGCCAGCGGCUCGGCCGGGAACUCAAAGGAGACUGCCGGUGAUAAACCGGAGGAAGGUGGGGAUGACGUCAAGUCAUCAUGGCCCUUACGGCCAGGGCUACACACGUGCUACAAUGGCGCAUACAAAGAGAAGCGACCUCGCGAGAGCAAGCGGACCUCAUAAAGUGCGUCGUAGUCCGGAUUGGAGUCUGCAACUCGACUCCAUGAAGUCGGAAUCGCUAGUAAUCGUAGAUCAGAAUGCUACGGUGAAUACGUUCCCGGGCCUUGUACACACCGCCCGUCACACCAUGGGAGUGGGUUGCAAAAGAAGUAGGUAGCUUAACCUUCGGGAGGGCGCUUACCACUUUGUGAUUCAUGACUGGGGUGAAGUCGUAACAAGGUAGGCGUAGCGAG
rnacentral:rRNA from 1 species